rnacentral:rRNA from 1 species
UACGUAGGGUGCAAGCGUUAAUCGGAAUUACUGGGCGUAAAGCGUGCGCAGGCGGUUUUGUAAGUCUGUCGUGAAAUCCCCGGGCUCAACCUGGGAAUUGCGAUGGAGACUGCAAGGCUAGAAUCUGGCAGAGGGGGGUAGAAUUCCACGUGUAGCAGUGAAAUGCGUAGAGAUGCGGAGGAACACCGAUGGCGAAGGCAGCCCCCUGGGCUGACAC